UACGGGGGGGGCAAGCGUUGUUCGGAAUUACUGGGCGUAAAGGGCUCGUAGGUGGCCAACUAAGUCAUACGUGAAAUCCCUCAGCUUAACUGGGGAACUGCGCCUGAUACUGGUUGGCUUGAGUUUGGGAGAGGGACGCGGAAUUCCAGGUGUAGCGGUGAAAUGCGUAGAUAUCUGGAGGAACACCGGUGGCGAAGGCGGCAUCCUGGACCGACACUGACGCUGAGGAGCGAAAGCCAGGGGAGCAAACGGG
rnacentral:rRNA from 1 species